UAUUACAAGAGUUAUUCAUUUAGUUCCUUCUGCCCAACUGCGACAAAAGGAGAAUAUUGCUGUGCAUAUUACACGUCAUCUGGAAGUUACGAGAGCUCGUUCUACUGUACCAAAUACUGCUGUGGGACAUCUACUUAUAAAUACUGCUGUACCUCUGCAUACAAUAGUUACUAUGACAGUUAUUCCUCUCUUUCCUCAUGUCCCGACCCUACGACCAGUCCAGGCAGUCCAGGUGCUUCAAAUCUAAUCGGUAUCAUAAUUGGCUCUGUAGUCGGUUUCAUUGUCCUAUGUGUCAUAAUAGGAUCCAUCAUCUGCUGUGCAACAGGGUGCUGUAAUAAGCAAAGGAGAG